rnacentral:lncRNA from 1 species
GACGGCGAACCUCAAUACGAGUCGUUCAAUACCGUCAACCAAGAGCGCCCGCAGCCGAUCGCUGAUCCUCACCAUGUGACAACGCUUCCAAACUCAGAUUUCGCCGUCACGUCCGGACCUAUAAGAGGCCUCCUCUGCCUGCAUUCCGACAGGUAUAUUUCAACUUACUAGAACAUUUUUUAAAGUCCAUUCUUUUAAUAAUAGACAUUAGCGCGCAAUUGCUGUUAAAAAGAAACUAAUUAAUCCAUUUAAUACUUUUAGAUAGGAGUUUAGUUGAUAUGAUGAUUAAUUUAUUAUAAACAAAUUCUGUAAGAUAUCGAGAUGCUGUUAUAUAUGUGUAAAUGUGAAGACUAAUGUCUUAUAUGUGUGUAUAUAUAUAUAUAUAUAUAUAUAUAUAUAUAUAUAUAUAUUCAUAUAUUAGGUACCUCGUCCUCUGCAAUCCGGCGAUCAGAAAAUGUCUGACGGUGCUCGAGUUCGAGCCGGAGCCGCCGCAGACCCGAAAGAGAUUCAACCACCGAGGCUUUUUAUUUGGAUUUGACGAACAGUCCAAGGCUUUUAAAGUCAUA